rnacentral:rRNA from 1 species
CCUACGGGACGCAGCAGUGGGGAAUAUUGCACAAUGGGGGAAACCCUGAUGCAGCGACGCCGCGUGAGUGAAGAAGUAUUUCGGUAUGUAAAGCUCUAUCAGCAGGGAAGAAGAAAGACGGUACCUGACUAAGAAGCCCCGGCUAACUACGUGCCAGCAGCCGCGGUAAUACGUAGGGGGCAAGCGUUAUCCGGAUUUACUGGGUGUAAAGGGAGCGUAGACGGCUGUGCAAGUCUGAAGUGAAGGCCAAGGCUCCAACCCGGGA